rnacentral:lncRNA from 1 species
CUUCUGCAUGGCUUUUACCUUCAGGAAAAUUCUCUGGGAAGGGAGGGAAGGGGACAUGGGAAAAUCGCACAUAAACUGUCUACGUACAGCUAAUGAACAGUCUCCGUGACAUUCCAUGUUUUCUUUAAUACUACUGGGGUUGCAAUGGUUAGGAUUUGUCCUGUAAUUCAACCAAAAUAGAACAGACAGAAUUAUGAAUUAUGUCCAUAAAAAGUAGAUGCUUUCUGAAACGUACAUGAAGAAACUCCUUCAUGUUAGAUGACCAAUAUAGAUAUAUUCCUGUACAGAGCUACUGUCUUCAUCUACUAAGAACAAAACCAAGUCUUGCAUAAAUGACAAGAAAAUAAUAAUUUUUCAGUUAAGAAAAAAGCAAAAGUGGUGUUUUAGCCAAGAAAAUAAUAUUCUAAAUAAAUAUUCGACUUAGAUCACUGGAAAGGCAGCCUAUUAGCAUGUUGAAAAUGACAUAGAUAAUACACAGAAUACACUUGGACUUUUACUUAACAGAGAGCAAUGAGUUCUAAUUUUUCCUAUUGAUUUUUAUGGCUGUCUAUACAAUUAUCCUUUUCCCUAACUGUGCUAGAAAUCCCUUCAUUCGAGAGACCUGAGUUUAUCUAAUGGCACCUAUAAGUAGGCUCAUAUAAAAAUGUAGUAAAUUGCAACAAAUAACAUUGGCACCACAGGAAGUAAGCUCUGAAGAUGGAAGUGAACUCAAUAAUAUUGCUGUCGCCAAGGAGGGGAAAACAUCACUAGCAGAAAAUACCUUUAUAUGUUCCUAGGCAACCUUGGAGAUGUCCCAGGUGUGUAUCAAAGUUAUGCAUUUGGUGGAUCUCCAUCCUUUCAUUUCAGCUGACAUCUAGUCUAAAUAUAAUGGCUAUUUAAAAAAAUUAUCCAUUUGCCUGGAUUGAUGAACACAAAUCUGGAACCGAGACAUUCUAAUUGCUUUGGCCAUUAAUACUCCUAUUAUUUCAUGUACCUUAAAACAAAGCAAAUAAACAUAACCAGGCUGUGGCUAAGACUUCCUGGCUGGCUUAGGCUUUGCAGAUUUAAUAAAACUGCUUAUAUACAGCUAUGGAUGGGUUCACAAUGGUAGUGUCAUUCCACUCACCUAGCUUUUCCCUAUAUUUAUAUUAACUAUACAGACAUAUAGCCAUUUGGAAAAGGGAAAAAGAUUAAAGUAAAUACAAUGCUAUGUCAGUAUAAAUGCCUUUCCCUUUUGUCUUUUAUUUGCAAGGGAUGGACAACAGUUCAUUUCACUUAAGAAAUAUAUUUGACUCACAGUAUACUGCAAAUGUAGAG